CGUCACUUCAGUUUUCAAAGCUUUUGCAGUGCUAUUUGGAUUCAUCCCAUAUAGGCCCCAUCUUGUGGUCAGUCUGAGGCCUGACAGGGCUCACCUGCAAGCUCGGUUCUCUGCUGUCUUUGAUAUGGACUUAGGAUCAGCUCUACCCAUAAGCACUGUGAACAUGUGAGUAGGUGGGGAAGGGCUCAGGUGUUCAUAAAUAACUUUGUGGAGUCACUUUCUUAAGCUCUUCUCUCUCUGCUCUCUCCCUAGCACUUUCUAGUUCCCUGGGGCUCCCCUUUUUUGGUCCUGUGGCCCAAAAUUGCCCACUUCUGCAAUUAAGCCAUAUCCUUCAGAGAGAAAAAAAAAGCAUUAGCUCAGCCCCACGCUCUUGGUGAUGCAGCUGUACUCAGUGGAGAUGUGCGAGGCUCUCCCUCAGGCUUCCGACUCCUGCAGGCUCCCACUGUCAGCCAGGGGGUUAUCUGGGAGCUUCAGCACGAAAAAAUGGGGAAAAGGAGAGGUUGUCCCAAGAAUUAGGAACAUGAUUACAACCACAUUCAUUUCUAGCAUGAAAAGAAAGAAUUAGGACCAUCAGAUUGUUAACAACUAUAAAAUUUUCACAGGUUCAAAAGGUAAUUGGACACUCUUUAAAGAAGAAAGAAAAGAA
rnacentral:antisense_RNA from 1 species